AACGAACGCUGGCGGCAGGCUUAACACAUGCAGGUCGAACGCCCCGCAAGGGGAGUGGCAGACGGGUGAGUAACGCGUGGGAACGUGCCCUUCGCUUCGGAAUAGCCUCGGGAAACUGGGAGUAAUACCGAAUACGCCGUAUUGGGAAAGAUUUAUCGGCGAAGGAUCGGCCCGCGUUAGAUUAGGUAGUUGGCGGUGUAAUGGACCACCAAGCCUACGAUCUAUAGCUGGUCUGAGAGGAUGAUCAGCCACACUGGGACUGGGACACGGCCCAGACUCCUACGGGAGGCAGCAGUGGGGAAUCUUGGACAAUGGGCGCAAGCCUGAUCCAGCCAUGCCGCGUGAGUGAAGAAGGCCUUAGGGUUGUAAAACUCUUUCGCCGGAGAAGAUAAUGACGGUAUCCGGAGAAGAAGCCCCGGCUAACUUCGUGCCAGCCGCCGCCGUAACAC
rnacentral:rRNA from 1 species